UUUCAGUUUUUCCGCUUCUUUUUGUCGCCGUGCAUAAUUGACAGCAUUUGAUAUUUAUAUUUUUCUCCAGAUCUGUCAUGUUUAAUAAAUAUUUUGUUUUGUUCUCACAACCCAUUUUUCCCUGCAGUUGCGAUCUUCGUAGGACGCCCGUAUACGAGAAUCCAAUCGGAUCUGGACUUCCAACGCGGCAACACAGCUGCCUUUUUGAAGAAUCGGACCUAACCCUGUUUCUAUCAGUUGCCUGGGAAGUUCGCUAGCUGACAACUCUCAUUUAUAUCAGUUAGUGGAUCCCCGUCACACCGGUGGCCCCUGCAAGACCGAAUAACGUGUAUGCCAUGAACGCUGCUAUGGAACUGGAACUGCUCUUCCAACGUCUGAAUUCGCUUUAUGUGGUACCGAGUGCGAGUACUACCGACACAACUGGUUUGACGAUGACGAGUAGUAGGUAGCACAAUUAACAUUUACAUUACGGCUGUGCUGCGCGCUAAGAAACGUUAUCCCUGCUUCAUGCAGUACUUCUGCCAAUAUUUGGCUAAAACAAAACAAUUUAUCAAAUGCCGGGAUUUAAAGGAUUUCGGGAUUUCCUGCAUUCCGGAAAACGGUUUUGAUAUUGUGGCCAGAUCUCUGCUUAAUUCGCUUUGGCCUACACGUCGUACGGUUUCUGCUUUUCGACUUACGUCAUACGGAAGACACGACAGUGCAGUGUGCAAGAAUGUCUGCUCUUUCUUAGGAUGUGUUUUACUGCUAGAAAUCUACCAAAAAACCAGAUGCAGUUACUGUACUCCUGUUGCUCGUCAGGGCAUAGUACCGGAAGAUAUCCUUAUGACAACAUCGAUUCGGGAACUGAACCAGUGUCCACAGGCUAAGAGAGGGAUGCAGAUAAUCUUAUGGGCCAAGCGGUUGUCGUGCGCAAAAACCAACUACUGGGAUAUCAAGAAGUUUUAUGCCCAGUCGACACCGUACUUCAAAAAGAUGAGAAAACGGAGCCUUGAAAUUCACCAUUCCGAUAAUCAUAAUGGCGAAGCAAAUGAAUCCUGAUCGGAUGCAGGUGAAACGAAUUGAUGAGGCAUGUAUGAAUUUUGAACGUUUUCUAAGUAUGUUAAAAAAUAUAAUUAAUAAAAUAUAAUUAAAAUAAAAUUAUUAUUUAAGUUCUCCUUCUAA